rnacentral:rRNA from 1 species
AUUGAACGCUGGCGGCAGGCCUAACACAUGCAAGUCGAGCGGAGCGGCGGACGGGUGAGUAAUGCCUAGGAAUCUGCCUGGUAGUGGGGGAUACAGUCCGGAAACGGGCGCUAAUACCGAAUACUAUCGGAGGAGCCUGGGUCGGAUGAGCUGGUUGGUGGGGUAAAGGCCUACAAAGGGGACGAUCCGUAACUGGUCUGAGAGGAUGAUCAGGCACACUGGAACUGAGACACGGUCCAGACUCCUACGGUAGGCAGCAGUGGGGAAUAUUGGACAAGGGGCGAAAGCCUGAUCCAGCCAUGCCGCGUGUGUGAAGAAGGUCUUCGGAUUGUAAAGCACUUUAAGUUGGGAGGCGUUACCAACAGAAUAAGCACCGGCUAACUUCGUGCCAGCCGCCGCGGUAAUUC